AUGAACGCUGGCGGCGUGCCUAAUACAUGCAAGUCGAGCGAACAGACGAGGAGCUUGCUCCUCUGACGUUAGCGGCGGACGGGUGAGUAACACGUGGAUAACCUACCUAUAAGACUGGGAUAACUUCGGGAAACCGGAGCUAAUACCGGAUAAUAUAUUGAACCGCAUGGUUCAAUAGUGAAAGACGGUUUUGCUGUCACUUAUAGAUGGAUCCGCGCCGCAUUAGCUAGUUGGUAAGGUAACGGCUUACCAAGGCGACGAGGCGUAGCCGACCUGAGAGGGGGAUCGGCCACCCUGGAACUGGGCCACGGUCCAGACUCCUACGGGAGGCAGCAGUAGGGAAUCUUCCGCAAUGGGCGAAAGCCUGACGGAGCAACGCCGCGUGAGUGAUGAAGGUCUUCGGAUCGUAAAACUCUGUUAUUAGGGAAGAACAAAUGUGUAAGUAACUAUGCACGUCUUGACGGUACCUAAUCAGAAAGCCACGGCUAACUACGUG
rnacentral:rRNA from 1 species